rnacentral:rRNA from 1 species
CACGUAGUUAGCCGGCGCUUCUUUACCCACUACCCUCACCACAACCCACAGUUGCGGCUUGACCAUGAGCGAAAGAGGUUUACAACCCGAAGGCCUCCAUCCCUCACGCGGCGUCGCUGCAUCAGGCUUUCGCCCAUUGUGCAAUAUUCCCCACUGCUGCCUCCCGUAGGAGUCUGGGCCGUAUCUCAGUCCCAAUGUGACCGGUCACCCUCUCAGGCCGGCUACCCGUCAAAGCCUUGGUAGGCCAUCACCCCACCAACAAGCUGAUAGGCCGCGAGCCCAUCCCCCACCAGAACAAACCUUUCCACCAACCCCCAUGCGAAGAUCAGUGAAUAUCCAGUAUUAGCACCCGUUUCCGGGCGUUAUCCCAAAGAAGAGGGCAGGUUACUCACGUGUUACUCACCCGUUCGCCACUCAUCCACCCAACAAAAGCCAGGCUUCAGCGUUCGACUUGCAUGUGUUAAGCACGCCGCCAGCGUUCGUCCUCGAGCCAGGAUCAAACUACU